UACGGAGGAUGCAAGCGUUAUCCGGAAUGAUUGGGCGUAAAGCGUCCGUAGGUGGCGAUGUAAGUCUGCUGUCAAAGCGUCUGGCUCAACCAGAUAAAGGCAGUGGAAACUACAUAGCUAGAGUAAGGUAGGGGUAGAGGGAAUUCCUGGUGUAGCGGUGAAAUGCGUAGAGAUCAGGAAGAACACCGGUGGCGAAAGCGCUCUGCUGGACCUUAACUGACACUGAGGGACGAAAGCUAGGGGAGCGAAUGGG
rnacentral:rRNA from 1 species